GUGUUUUAAAAAAGGAGAGAAGAUUAGUACCCUAAUGGACAAGGAGUAGUCUUUUCAGCAUGUAUCUGAUUGAGACAUUGCCACUUACUUGGUGGCAAUGCCUCUGAUUUCU
rfam:Alligator mississippiensis ScZkoYb_317, whole genome shotgun sequence.